rfam:Pontibacillus yanchengensis Y32 contig34, whole genome shotgun sequence.
AAUCAAGGAAGGUCGAGUAAGUUCGCUACAUCCUGUAGCAAACGCGACCGACCUCACGUCAUGUGAG